rnacentral:lncRNA from 1 species
UUCAAAAAUAAAAAAUAGAUAUCUUGAAUAAAAUAAAUUUAUUUAAGUUUGACACAAUGUCAAUAUUUAUAAAUACAUUUCAUUGAAUAACAUUUCCCAUAUUAUUUAUUAUUUAUUGCAACUCUCCACAUUUGAAGAAUUGUUUGUAAGCAUCACAAGUACGACAAGCAUGCACCAUCCUUAAGCACGAACACCUACAAUGUAAAAACAAUUUUAGACAUCUUUAUACAUAUUCUGUUUGGUUUAAAAAAACUUAAUAAGAGAUAAAGAGAAAGUACAAAAAUUUAAUACCAUUGCUUAUGCGAAGAAUCAUAGCAGUGUUGUUCUUAGCAAUUUACAAGACAACUAUUCAUGCAGUUUUGGUACUCCUGGCCUAAUAAUUUCCCACAGACAUAAAAGAAACACCUUAUUUUACAAAAAAAGCCUAGGGGUUUGUCUGACUUAGAGUCUUGAGAUUGAGUGAUGCACUGAACUUGUAUUGUAAACAACAUCAUCAUCAUCAAAAUCAUCACAAUACAUUUUUGAAUUUGACUCAUCAUCACUAUUUUUAAAAAUGUAAUCUUUUUUCUUAAACUAAAAUAAAAUUCUAACCUUUAUGAUAUUUCAGGACUUGCGCAACACUCACUAAAUAAAACAUUUGUGUUAGGC